UGGGUGACAUCAUAACUCAGAGCAAUUUUAUUCUGAGUACAGUCAGGAAUAAAUUGGAAUAAAAGUUCUAAUCUGUCUUCACAUAGAUGUAAAGUUUACUCUCAGACAUCUGGUUGCAGACAUUGAAGCAGUUUUCUAUUUUAAGUCAUAGCAUUUACUUCUCAUAGAAACUAUUACACAGAAGAAGUACUUUGCCUAGAAAUGUUAUGAAAACAGAGUCUCAGAAAUGUCUGACCAUCGUUCAUCCCUCUCGCACAGGCCCAUGCCCAGGUGAGACCAACCCCAUGGAAGUGCCUGUGAUGGUUUCCAAAACACCUCCUCCCCCCUGGAAAAGAGAGGUUGCUCUGAGCAUGACCCCUCCUGCCUGCUGACAGCAAGUGCUGGUUCAACACAGAUACCUGGAGCAGAAUUAGUGAAAAGCUUUGUACGAGACUGCAGGGCAAAUUCAGGCUCAUGGAGCUUUUCCUGCUUAGACUGAAUCAUGACGUUCAGACUGGAGUCACGUUUUCUCUGGUGGCAGCAGCACUGAGAUUUCUGAAGCAGAUGCUCUGUAAUCUUCAGCCACGCCUGGAUAUCCUCUGUCAUCAGGUAAAGCCCAUACUGGUGAGGAACUCACGUUGCCAACAGCCACUUUCUUCAGGGUGGAGCUAAUGAACCUUGGAAAACGAGAUGCUGGUUCAGAAAAG
rnacentral:lncRNA from 1 species